ensembl:lncRNA
AAAAAUUUGGACUGACAAAAUUUGGAUCAAUUUUGGAUUGAAUUUAAUUGAAUUACAAUGCUUUUUACCUCCCAUGAUAUGACUUGUUUGCAGGUGUGCCUUGUUUUAUGGUUCCACAAAUAUGUACGAAGCAAGCUAAUGUUCCAUCGUGUAUUGAAGAUGGAAUGAGAAAUUGCUCAUCUAAAGUUUCUAGGAUGCGAGUUCCAAAUUAUUUCUCUAGACCAAUUUCCUCAGAGGUAAGGUUCAAGACAGUGGUUACUGUCUGAUUGACUAACUUCAAGACUAAAAAAAAGCCAUAAAGCAAGAAAUAAAGUUCAAGUGUCAGCAACAUAGUCAGCAGUACAGGAAGAUCAAUUAGGUCACGCGCUGGAUUGUGCCUUCACCGUUUUUACAGGAAAUAGUUGAUACAGAAAGAGGAUAUAAAAUCCACGUCUCUGAAGAAGCAUUACAGAGGAGCAGCAAUAGACGGGGGGGAAACCAUGAGGAAGUGGAUUUGAUUGUGUCUAUUCUCAACGAGACUUUCUUCAGGGUCAGCAGCAGUUUAGACACCAAGAAGGGAAAUGACUCACAUGAGUCAGGCCCAAUAUUGCAUGGGCAAAGUGUGUUGGGAGUUUGGCUUGGUGUGAAAGAAAUUCGCAACCUUUCUCAGCCUGUUCAACUCAGAUUCAUAAACACCAAUCAGAGUGAAAACGGAAUCUGUGUCUACUGGCAUCUUGAUAAAAAUGGCAAAGGUCAGUAUGAUUUUCACACCAUCAAAAAUAAACCUAUAUAUAAACAAAUGUACCAUCGUCCAGAAUGUAGUUCAUUCUCAGAUGGUGGCAUGUGUGGGGGUGUGUGUGUGUGUGUGUGUGUGUGUGUGUGUGUGUGUGUGUGUGUGUGUGACAAUUUUUCAUUUGAAAGUAUUACUGCUAUACUCUAAAGAAAUAAUAUUUCCCAUCUCGGGCCCAAAGUACCAUGAUGGAUUUAGGCCCUCAAUAUAUGCGUCAUGAAAUGCAGUUUCAGAUUUUUAUAUAGUGUUUCUCAAGGUUAGUUUAUAAAGUUCGCAAAGUUAUAAACACUUAAUAUGGCUUAAUGUAUUAAUUUGAUCUUUUAAUAGCACUAUCUUAAUACAUUUUAAGCCAUAUUAAAGUGCCUCUAUUAUGCCAUUUUUAAGGUUCCUAAUAUUGUUUUGGGAGUCUCCUACAAUAGGAUUACAUGCAUGCAAGUUCAAAAAACCCUUUCGUUUUCUCAAAAUAUGCAUUUAAUAUCACCUAAUUUUCCAGCGAUUCUCAAACGAUUCGUUCAAAGCAGUUCUAAGAUUCAGUCUCUCUAAAACCCUCCUUUCCGUGAGCCUACUCUGCUCUGAUUGGUCAGAUGGCCCAGUCUGUUGUGAUUGGUCUACCGCGUACAGCGCGUGUCAGAAACGAUACGCCCAUUGCCAUAGUUCCGUAUUUUGAACGCUUGAUAGAAAAUAUAAACAUCUGUUAUUUAUCAUAUUUGUGAUUCAGUGGAGCCAGCUGGUCCAAAUAAAGAGGGUACUGAGCCAUCUUUCAAGAGCAAGCGUUUAGUGAAUCCCGCAUAACUCCCCGAAAUUAGAGAAGCAGUCGUCAGUAAAAUGACGUGUUUGUGGGCGGGGUCAAGUUGUUCGCUGCCGGCCAACGUAGAGCAUAGGCGUGAAUUAUGCAAAUGUGUUACUCCGUGACGUGUAGCCGUCACGGAAGUGGGAUUCGAAUUACUAAUGACUCAUUUAGGCUGUAGAGAGUCGAUUCUUUAUUUUGGGAGACAAUAACUUUAUUUAUCGUGC